CAGUGACCAGUGCCUCCUGGCCAGCUCCUCCCAGUUUGUAUAUUGGGAAUGGGGAUUGGAAUGUCCCUUUGGCCAGCUCAGGUCAGGUGUCCUGGUCAUGCUCCCCCCAGCUCCCUCUGCACUUCCUCAAGGCAGGGCAUGGGAAACAGAAGGCCUUGACUCAGGAGAACACUAAACAUCUCAGGUUGGGCUCAGUAGGCCCAUUCCUGCCAUCUGACAUCUUACAAAAAUCUAGGCCAAGAAAUAUAUCCUUUCUGGAAAAGAAAAACAUCACAGACUGUCUACUUGGGUAAAGAAUUUGGAGAAACUAGGUUUUCAGGAAUAGUAAACUGAGCAUCUGUUGGACUUCAUUAAAUUCUUAUUUAACUUGAGUUGAGAUCAGUGAAAUUAACCUUUAUACCUCAACUGUGCUCUUCCUGCUUGAAGCAGCUGAAUCAAAGCAGCUUACGAAGGGCAUCCUUCUGCUUUGUAACUUCAAAGAACAUUUAUUCAGAGGUAGCAUGUGAAGAUCACAGAACUGGAGCCAGAUGAUAGAGAAAUCACUGCAAACUGAGGCAGGCAGGAAAAAUACCUAAUUUAAAGAUAGACUAGAGAUCUGAAACAAAGGUUCAUAAAGACUGGUGUGUUACAAAGCAGAGGUAACAAUUUGCCAGACAGGCAGACACAGUGCAAGGGGAAUGGAAGAGUCUUUCUAACCACUGCUGCUUAGUGUUCCCUGAACCACAAACUAUAAAAAGAAAAGGAGCUCAGAAGAUUAUUUGCAACCAUGCAGUUUUCUCUACUGGCCUGUGCAGGCUCUUCAGGACAUGGACAGUAAUUUCUGUGCACCUACAGCAGCCAAGGUUGUGAUCUUGACUGGGGCAUUCAUGCCCUACUGUCAAAUCAAAAAUGGGAAGAGAUAAACAGUGGUAAUUAAAGGGCAACAAAGAACAACAUUCAAUUAAACUCCAACAUUUACUGGUAUCCAGAACAGUUACCAGGUUCCAGCCAUCCAUAAGGUUGCAAUCAAACCCUAAACUAGAAACCCCAGAGAUCUACAGCCCUCUAGUUACAAACUUAUAUUAGAACCAUUAAAAUAAUUAGAAGGGAUAGAACUGAUAAUUUCACUGGAUUUUGUCCAACUGACCACGAGUGUAUCCAAGUCUGGGAUAUGCACUGAGACCUCCCUCUAUCACUAACCUGGUACACUCAAGCACUACAGGCUCCUGACAUCUCUCAGCUUUGGAGAUGUCAAGGAAACAGAAAUACUCCUGUGAUGUGUCACCCAGCCAUAAGAGCCCCUCAGUUCUACCAUGGACAUUCCAAAGAGCAGAAGGUAUUGUGAGAUGAGGCCUUGCAACACUCAGAGCAUUUAUUUCUAGCUCCAGAGUGGGAGAAGGCAGGAGAAGAUAGGAUCUUGUAUCUCUUUCUCUGCAGCAAAUUGUUGCACCUCACUGAAUAUCAAAAGGCAGUUUAGUUCUGCCAUUGACAGUAAAUGAAAAAAAUUGCUGUGGAGUGACAGUGGUCAUGCAGCUCUGUGCAACUUUAAUGGAACUAAUAACUUAGUUCCCUUGUAAAAUACCAAGCCUUGUUUGUGCAAGGAUUACUGUAGUAACAUCCCUUAGGAGCAAAACAAUUCCUUGUACAUGGGCUGGUGCACAAUCUCUUUCCCACAGCACACUUCCACCAGCUUCCAAUAAAAAAUCAGAAGCAAA